rnacentral:rRNA from 1 species
GAUGAACGCUGGCGGCGUGCUUAACACAUGCAAGUCGAACGGAAAGGCCCAAGCUUGCUUGGGUACUCGAGUGGCGAACGGGUGAGUAACACGUGGGUGAUCUGCCCUGCACUUCGGGAUAAGCCUGGGAAACUGGGUCUAAUACCGGAUAGGACCACAUUUUGGAUGGUGUGGUGGAAAGUUUUUCGGUGUGGGAUGAGCUCGCGGCCUAUCAGCUUGUUGGUGGGGUAAUGGCCUACCAAGGCGUCGACGGGUAGCCGGCCUGAGAGGGUGUACGGACACAUUGGGACUGAGAUACAGCCCAGACUCCUACGGGAGGCAGCAGUGGGGAAUAUUGCACAGUGGGCGCAAGCCUGAUGCAGCGACGCCGCGUGGGGGAUGACGGCCUUCGGGUUGUAAACUCCUUUCGCUAGGGACGAAGCGUUUUUGUGACGGUACCUGGAGAAGAAGCACCGGCUAACUACGUG